CCAGUGGUGUUUCUGGAGAGGGUUUCCUUCAGAAAUGGAGAAGACCGAAAGCUGCGGAGGCAGAUAUUUGCAGCAGUAAGUCUGUGAUAGUUUGUCCCUUUUAUCAAACAUUCCUGCUGUUAUAAUUUGUACAGCAUUUGUUGUUUCUUAAACUGUUGCACUGUCCAAAUACCCACACUUGCCAUCUUUGCACUUGACCACUUGAUUACUUAUUUGAAGUCUUUCCUGUAUUUGGCCUAGUGUUCGAGUGAGCAUGAUAACCACAAGUGUGUGUCGAACUUUUCAUGACCUGAUGACUGUGUUUCCCAAUCCUGAUCCUGGAGAACCCCAGCACUGCACGGUUUUGGUGUCUCUCUUAUCUGCCUUGGAGUCUUCACUGAUGAGCUGAUGAGUUGAAUCAGGUCUAAAAUAUCAAGCUCAACAACUCACUCAAGAGCCAACCCUCACAAACCUUCCUAAAAACUAAGAGCUAUUACUGAGUCUCAGCGAAUCUUGCCAUGAUCAGCUCUUCCCAGAAGAGAAGGAAGACCAAGGAAAUGAUUUGCUCAGGAUGAGGAAUGAAGACGGCCAUCUUGUGCUCAAACAAACAGAAGUCCUCUGGUAUGUGUGUGUUGAAGCAAUGCUGUGUUAUACAACAUUUUAUGAUGAUCUCUCACAGAACUGGUCAUGUCAGCCUUAAUUUCUUUUUUUACUAUUACAAUUGCAGCAUGUUAGCAAAGUGUGACUGGACAUUUUUAAUAUUAUGUUUUUAAAAACACACCACCUGUUUUAAGAGUAGACAAGUCUCAUGAAAUUGGUUUAGUUGAUAUAAACACCAAUUGACAUUAUUUAAUUGUUUUCUAAAUGUUAUGUUAUAAAUUGUGAAUUGAUAGUUGAUUGGUUUGAAGCCAGGCCUUACACUGCACAGACUAAAACACAUUUGUGAGAGAAGUCAGGAACUUUGGAGAAAGAUUCUAGAGGAAAAAAACACAUUUACUGCAACAAUAGAUGAAUUCUAGAGUCUCUGAGAACUACACAUGCUAAUGCAGUCUCAUGAGCAAGACCUUUGCCUCUGUAACUUUUUCUUAAUUCUUUAAUUUUUAUUGCAGUAUUUUAAUUUGUACAGAUGAUCUCAUCAGCCAAAUGAGGGGUUUUGACCAAAUGAUGCUCUUGAAAGGAGUGAAAGAAGAGGAUGUGCUAAAUUCUCUUCAGAGAAAAAGCUUCUCAAAAGGUCUCAAAACAGCUUGAAGAAUGGUCUGGGAUCUUAGGACUGAGAGAUCCUCUGGCUGAGAACAAGCACAUCAGUGCUGGAUAUCAACCACAAACUGUUUCCAGGCACGAGAGAAGAAGAACACGAUGGGGAGAUGAAACCAGUUUAGAUGUGAUGAUGGGAAUCAUUAUUUUCUGGAACAGUAUCACAUGUCUUAUAUGUAUCACAUGAUCUGCAUCACAGUUGACUGGAUGGGACUCUGUGACUUUUAAGGACAUUUCAUCACUCAUCUGUGUGAACUGAUUAAUAUAUGAGGUUAAUGUAUUUUUGAUGAUAAUUAUUUUCAUUGAAUCUUAUUCGUCUUGAUGCUACUUUAUCAACUUUAUAGUCUAUGCUUCAAUAAAAUGAAAA